rnacentral:snRNA from 1 species
AUUUGGAACUUGUUUUGAAAGGAU